rnacentral:sRNA from 1 species
UUUCGCAAUUAGGGUGGUGUUUACCACA